rnacentral:lncRNA from 10 species
CCCAGGCAGAACCAGUGGGAACAGGUUUCUGGAAGGGAGGAACAGCGUGUGCAAACAGUCUGAGCCCAGACAACCACCAUGAGCUAAGGGAAGGGCCGUGUGGCUGAGCGUUCUGGACCUGCUGGAAGAGGAGCUGAGAGGCAGCAUGCCACCUGCCACCAUCACCCCAAGACAUGCAAUUCAUGCCUCCCAGGGCAGCCACGCCUGAGGCACCAACUGCAGCUCCAGCUCUACUCUUGCAGAACUUCAGGAUACUGAGUACCUUCUGCUCUGCCAGCCCCGUACUCCCUACCCUUCCUACAGCAUCCAUCCUCAAGCCCUUGUGCUUCACUGCAGCUGUGUCUGGUCUUGGACUUGGACAGCCUUAGCUAGGUCAUCCUACCACUGACCAAAGUCUAGCUCAGACACUAACCUUUAUGCUGCAUCCAUCAUCUCAUUCGUCUCCUCCGGCCCUCCUCGCCCCACUGUCCUCAUCUCUUUGAGCUGCUAUAAUACAUUACCAUAGACUGGGCAACUUAUAAGCAACAGAAAUCUAUUCUAGCUUUAUCUCAGGCUGAAAAUCUGAGAUCAAGGUGCUGGCAUGGUUAGGGUCUGGUGAGGGCCCUCCUGCAGGUUGCAAACAGCCCAUUUCUUGCUGUGUCCUUGAGCGGCAGAAGGAGCUACCUAGCUCUACAGUCUCAAAUGCACAAAUCCGGCCGGGCGCGGUGGCUCACUCCUGUAAUCCCAGCACUUUGGGAGGCCGAGGCAGGCGGAUCACGAGGUCAGGAGAUCGAGACCAUCCUGGCUAACAUGGUGAAACCUCGUCUUUAUUAAAAAAAUACAAAAAAUUAGCCAGGCGUGGUGGUAGGUGCCUGUAGUCCCAGCUACUUGGGAGGCUGAGGCAGGAGAAUGGCGUGAACCCAGGAGGUGGAGCUUGCAGUGAGCCGAGAUCGCGCCACUGCACUCCAGCCUGGACGACAGAGCAAGACUCUAUCUCAAAAAAAAAAAAAGCACAAAUCCCAUUCAUGAGGGCUCCACCCUUAUGAUGUAAUCUCCCAAAGGGCCCAUCUCCUAUCACCCUGGGCUUCAACACUGGAAUUUUGAGGGGACACAUACAUUCAGACCAUCGCGCACCCACUAACCCUUAAAGGUGGACAAUUUCCAGUGUAUAUCUAUGCUCAGCCAACUUCUCUUCUGUGUACAGUCUCUAUCAAACAUUGCAUCAGUUCCCAUGAUUUCAACUGUUAUUUCCCGUAGAUGCCUUCUGCACUGGUACCCUCACCCCCGACCUCACUGCUAAAUCUCAGUUUUGCAUUUCCACCUCCCAGUGUCAUCUUUCUAGAGACUUGAGAUCAGUAUCUCCAAAAUAAAGCUCAUGUCUUCUGUCCCACUCCUGCUCCAGUCCACGCCUUCUGUCUUCUUCAUUUCAGACAACGGCACCUACCUUCUGUCUGCUGUGGUUCAUUUAUUCAUCAAAUUGUCAAUGGAGUACUGCAUUCCAUGAGCCCAAAGAAUCGCCCCACCUUGUUCCCUCUCCCUUCCUCAUGGCUGGUCUGUUGCAAGUCCUGAUGAAUCUAGCCAUUGUUUUCAGAAUAUGCCUUCUAGUCUUUGGCAAUUCUGGUCUUUUAAAAGGAAUGUUGUCCACUUGUGCAAACAGAAUAAUUUAGGCUCCCUCCUUCAAAAAAAGAAAAUCUGAAAUCAGAAAUAUGAGUCUCCAUUAAAGAAUUAACUUUAAAUUAAAGGGAAAUUAUGAAAUCACUUAAACUGAAAAGGCACUAUGUAUCUGGAUGCUGUGCUGUACAGUUUCUUUAUCUUACUUUUAAGGCUACUGAAUAUAUAACCUAAUGCAUUAAAGAGCUUUGUUUGGCCAAGUAGGCAGGUAGAAACAUAGGACUUUAAAUCAGAUUAAAUGCUUUGUUCACUAUCAACA